rnacentral:rRNA from 1 species
AGCUCCAAUAGCGUAUAUUAAAGUUGUUGCAGUUAAAAAGCUCGUAGUUGGAUUUCGGGGCAGGUGGGCCGGUCCACCGCGAGGUGUGUACUGGACGCCGGCCCUUCCUCUCGGAGGCCCCGUCUGCUCUUCGCUGAGUGGUCGGGGAGUUCGGGACGUUUACUUUGAAAAAAUUAGAGUGUUCAAGGCAAGCCGUUGGCCUGAAUACGUUAGCAUGGAAUAAUGGAAUAGGACCUCGGUUCUAUUUUGUUGGUUUCUGGGACCGAAGUAAUGAUUAAGAGGGACAGUUGGGGGCAUUCGUAUUCAAUUGUCAGAGGUGAAAUUCUCGGAUUUAUGGAAGACGAACAACUGCGAAAGCAUUUGCCAAGGAUGUUUUCAUUAAUCAAGAACGAAAGUACGC